UGUGUAAAGGAACAGCGGGAUUUCAUGCCUCAUUGCCCUGCCGGGACAUCCUUUUCGUGCCCGGGUUUGCAGAGUUACUAAAAACUUCGUGGCUGCUCAGACAUAACAGCAGCGAGAACCCACAGGAAAGACAAAGGCAGUUCCCGGGGACACCUUCCCCACAAUGGACCGCUUGAAGGGCACAACUCUCCCGUGCUUUGCUCCUACAGAAACCUUAGCCCAUGUUUACCUGCCCAGGAAAAAGAGAUAAGACUUGCUCGUGGAGAGGAAAGCUCUAUAUCACUGAAGCUCGGGGAAUUUUGUCAGACUUUAUCAGUGACUUUAAACGUAUUCACUAUUCUUUGUGGUACAAGAUCUGCAAAGUGUAUACAGACUGAAGCCUUUCCAGAAUAUUAAAUACUUUCUCUUGCUUGACAAAGGUCAUCUAUGCUGUGAAGGUGAUGAGCUCAUUUCAUCUACAGCACCCAUCAAUCCAUCAUGGCAAAAUGGCCCCAAAGACCCAAAGAAUUAAGCAGCUCAUGAGUUUGAAUGUAUUACAUAUUCACAGUACUCCUUUGAGCUGCAGAAAUCUUGUGAAGAAUAUUCUUCAUGUUGUUCAGAUUGGCAUGGGAUGGGCUAAUUACUAGAUUUACAAGGAAAAUGUGAAGUUUUGACUCUCAGCAUUGCCUGGAGAAACCCUUAUCUCUGAGUUGGGCUCCCAAAGACUGUCGACACAUCAUGGGGAGAGCAAAGUACUCUAGAACAGCAAGUCAUGCUCUAGGUUGUGUAGUUGCAUGUGUAGCAGACAUAAAUGAUGCAGACAUGGUGCUUAGCAGGCUACUAGGAAACACUGUGGAUGUUUUCCAAGUCCCAGACAUUUCUGGCUAUCAGCUACUGACACAGGGCUGCUGUGGGACAUAUCUCUUUCCUGGAGGUAGACCCUGAAGCAGUCAGUGCUCCAGGUUUUCAGCAGUGCAGCCCACCUGAUCAUAGGUCAGGAGAGCUGGAGAGACUGGACCUGGCCCAGCAAGUGAAGGGAGACAAGGAGAGCACAAAUCUGAGAUAGAGAGCUGCUGCUGCUCAGCCCAAGGUUGUGGGUGCAUCUCUGGUGAAAGGAGGAGGGAGGAUCCCACGAGCAAGAGCUGAUCAAACAAGGUCAAGCAUUAAACCCAGUUUCUCAGAGCAGUGUCAUCAGCAAAACAGACCAUAGGGCUGCUACCCUCAGCAGGCUAUGACCCUUGUCAGCUUAACAUAAUUCUUUUUGCUUGGACAGUAGCCUAAAUAAGACUCUCUGCCAGUCUACUCACAUCCUAGAGUGAAAUGGGAAAGAUCUGUGGAUUAGCGACAUACUGCCUCAUGCACAAACAACUUCUGUGCUAGAGAGACUGGCUCUUCUCUAAACAGUUGGACCUUCUAGUCUAAAGAUCUCUUUUCUUGGCAUGUAUUACAGCAGGGAAGAUCAAUCUCAGCUGGGUUCUCCUUGUUGUUAAGAAUGUUUGGGUUGUAAGACACCAGGUGGUUCUUCACAAGAUGUCCUCUGACAGGGUCUUCAUACCUGAGGUAUGUUAAAUUUUGGCAAAAGAUCAUCCUUUCUCUCUCUGUCAAACGUUGUAGGUUGGAUAGUAAAAAAUGGACUCAGCUAUUUUUAAAUUGUAGCUGGGUCUGUGGUCUGUUUGCCUGAUAAUGUAUUUUUAGCAGAAUAUGAUAGGUGUCCUUUUAUGGAGGAGAGAAGGAGUAAAAACUCCAGUGAAUAAAUACAUGUUUUUUGUUUUCAUCACUCUCCUCCUGGACUCCUGCUGUUGAGUGACUGGAAAAUUCAAACAGAUUAUUUUGGCAGUUCCAAAAAUCUGUCAUACAGAUCUGAGAUUUUUCCUUGUAUUUGUCAAAGUGUGAGUAAGCACAAGUAUUACAGGAAACAUGGAAAUGUUUGGUCUUUAGAGAAUGGCUGUGGAAAAAGACCUCUUACUGUUUAAUAGCUAAUGUUUAAUAAAAUAAUUUUUGUAUGUCCAAAUUGCUGAUUGUUCUAGUGAGGGUUAAAUUCUGGUCAGAAGAGAUCCGAUGAGUCCAAUGUCCUCAGUUAGAAUACUUUGAGAAGAGUCUUUUCUGUAGCCAUUUCCUAUUUCAGAACAAUGAAGAAUGAGAGAUGUCCUUCUUGCUCCCUAAGGUGCAGUGAUGUGUUUAGUACGAUCUCUAGGAUAGUGUCAAAAGGGAAAGAAGGAUCCAGGAGCAAGUUACUGGAGUACGAGGAAGUGUCCUUGUCUGAGAGACACAACCCACUGCUUGAUUAUGAAGAUCCAGCUAGAAGAGAAAAACAGAAGAUGUCUCAUACUUACCGAAAUGUUAAGGGUCAUUAUGGAUAUACUGGAGACUGGAGGAAGCCAGGAACCUGCUUAAAGUUCACCAGAAGUUUCUCUACAGUUUCUCUGUAUGAAGUCUUCGUUCAGAGGCAGGAGUCCAGCACAGCCUGUAGUUUGGAGGCUGUUGUCAUGUUUUCUUCAGCAGUGCUGGCCCUCGAGCUGCUGCUGCACACCAAAGCACUGGCACUUGGGCUGUUUUGUCAUAACACAUUGUGCAAAUUCUGAUGUUCACCUUUUCUCUUAUCUGUGUUUUGUGUCAUUUUCUGCUUCGCUGCUAGGUGCAGGUCUACUCCAAUCUUCCUGUGAGGUAACUGCAGAGUGCUGCCGGCUGGUCUUUUACACGAGGUGAACAAAGCUACAGCCAAAUUCUUCAGCUUGAACUAUGGCCACAUUUGUGUUAGGUCUGAUGUGCUCAUAAUAAGAUGUUUUUCCUCUGCCUGCUUCUUACAGGAUACAAAUUAGGACUUCAGCUUCAUGCAGCUGUGUAAUCUUAAUCUAAAUGGGGCUGAAGAUAGCAAAUUGACAAGACCUUUUCAUUUUGUUUUACAAGGCGGCUAGCUGAUGCCAGGAAGGACUGCUUAUCGACAUCAGUCAUUACCCUGUUGAUAGCUCUGGGCAGACUGCUCUAAUUGGCCAGAACUGAAUCAAGUAAUCAUGUUAUGGAAAGCGUACGUAGCAUUUAUCUUAGUAGCACAUCUGAAUUACAGUAAUAUGAGUUCAUGGCAAAAUUCUCUCUGACUACAUCAGAAGCAGGAGCAGAGAUUGUCUGCUAGCACACAUGCAACUGGACUUUAUUGCACAAUCUGCUGUUUUUAGGCAGGACAGUGAGGCUGUGUCAUAAAAGUCAUAAAAUUAUCCUCCAAGAUCCUGCAGUUCAAAUGCUGUUCAGACAAGUGAAGAUAAGCCCAUGUGUGGUGUUUGUAGAACUGUUUUGCGUUGUUUUCCUGGUGUGACUUUCACUUCAAAAAGUAGAAAAGCUUUAAUAGGAAUAAAUAAAAAUACCAUCCAAAAAGAGAAUAAUUACAGAGGCAUCUUCUUUAUACAAAAUGAUAGUUAAAAAAGAAAUAGCUAAGAAAGAAAAGUAACAACAAAACACAAAUCUGAGACUCAGUUUGCUCAUUUUCUGCCUGGGAAAUAGAGAACAAGAAGUUUAUUAUCAAAAAUACUUGCAUAAUGCUGACUAAUGUGUUAAUGAAUCCUAUUUUUGUUAAAUAGUUUAAGCAUGUUAGAUACUACAUUGAAAAAAAAAAAGAAAAUGAAUAGUUGGCUGAAAUAGUCACCUGAGCUUCUUUUUUUUCCAUGGUAAAUGUAAAAUUUGUAAUUUUUAUUCAAUGGAAUGAUUGAGGCUUGGGCCUAUGUUAAGUUGCCAUGAACAGCACAGACCAGGAGGAAUAGAAAUGAUUUGCUUUGGACCUUUUCUCAAGUAGAAUCAAACUGCCUGCUUGCCAUGUCCCUGUAGCAUACAGUGUAACAGCUAAAUAUUAAUUGUAAUCAAAUUAUAAUCUGGAUGAAGAUACUGAUCUGCAAAAGUUUACAGCUUCAGGAGGAGGACAACUAUUACAUCUUGGGGUUUAUAAGUACAAAUAAAUAUUUGAGCACUUUGUGCAUUAA